UACUUUCAAAGGACAAUAGUUCGCCCUUAAUUUUAGGAAUUAACACCUCU
rnacentral:tRNA from 1 species